UACAGAGGCCUCGAGCGUUAGGCGGAAUCACUGGGCUUAAAGCGUGUGUAGGCGGACUUCUAAGUACCUUGUGAAAUCCCCACGGCUUACCCGUGGAACGGCUGGGUAUACUGGGAGUCUUGAGCCACCUAGGGGCGAGUGGAACAAAUGGUGGAGCGGUGAAAUGCGUAGAUAUCAUUUGGAACGCCAAUGGGUGAAAACAACUCGCUGGGGGUGUGCUGACGCCUGGAGACACGGAAAGCCAGGGGAGCGAACGGG
rnacentral:rRNA from 1 species